rnacentral:ribozyme from 1 species
GCUCCUCAUCGCCCUUUGCAACAGUUGGGAACGGAAGUUCUGCUCGUGCUCAGUCCCCACCGAAUCCCAGCCCUCGUUCACCGCCUCGUGAUGUUGCGGCAUUCACGCCAAGGGCAGCUCUGUCUGCCUCAUUUUCUAACAGCUCUGUGGUUCCCACUGCCGCGAACGGUGCUG